ACGAAUGUCCCGCCUUGAGCGCCC
rnacentral:siRNA from 1 species